GUGGGGAAUAUUGGACAAUGGGCGAAAGCCUGAUCCAGCCAUGCCGCGUGUGUGAAGAAGGUCUUCGGAUUGUAAAGCACUUUAAGUUGGGAGGAAGGGCAGUAAGUUAAUACCUUGCUGUUUUGACGUUACCGACAGAAUAAGCACCGGCUAACUUCGUGCCAGCAGCCGCGGUAAUACGAAGGGUGCAAGCGUUAAUCGGAAUUACUGGGCGUAAAGCGCGCGUAGGUGGUUUUGUAAGUUGGAGUUGAAAUCCCCGGGCUCAACCUGGGAACUGCCUCCAAAACUGCAUGACUAGAGUACGGUAGAGGGUAGUGGAAUUUCCUGUGUAGCGGUGAAAGGCGUAGAUAUAGGAAGGAACACCAGUGGCGAAGGCGACUACCUGGACUGAUACUGACACUGAGGUGCGAAAGCGUGGGGAGCAAACAGGAUUAGAAACCCCGGUAGUCC
rnacentral:rRNA from 1 species